rnacentral:tRNA from 1 species
GCCCAGGUGGCGAAAUUGGUAGACGCUAAGGUUGUGGGGGUUCGAGUCCCUUCCUGGGCACCA